rnacentral:lncRNA from 1 species
AAUGGGAAACAAUUGGCAAAUGUUAAAAAAUUAGGACCAACCUUAAUACAUAAGCAAUAGGAUAAGAUGCUUGUUUUUCUACUAAUGAUCUUUAAUUAUUGAUGCCUUUUGGUUUCUCCCAAAUGCUACUAGAGUUUCAGGUAAUCUUCACACCCCAAAACACAAGUCUACUUAUGAUUUAACUCAAUGUGAGAGAGAAUGGUAAUAU